GUCCACUGAACCUUAUCAUUUAGAGGAAGGAGAAGUCGUA
rnacentral:rRNA from 1 species